CUGGCUGUUUCCCAAAGCCAGCAGAGGGUGGCAACCCAGCCUCCCAGGCGUGCGGACCCAAACCUGGCUCCUAAGCCCAUGAAAUGAGCAACGUGCUCCCGAAGGUGCCGAGAUAUUGUGUGGGAAUUAGAUAACACGAUACGCCCGUACAAAUGCAGGUGUCUAGCUUCGCAUUCAUUGAGGAGGGAGGUGAAAGAAAUAGGCGUGACGUUAAUGAAAGCACAUCACAGAGAGGAGAUGAGGCAGGAGGUUACAGGCAGGAAACACCAAGAUUUAGAGUUCUCCGACCUUUUCUGUGUCCAGAUGCACAAGUGCGUGUGUAUGUUUAUUUCCCUACACAAGGGUUGUAUGUGUCUGUGGAGGAUUAUACUCUGAAAUUGUGUCUAAGAGGCUGAGGUGGCACUGGGGGCCAGAAGAUCUCACCCCGGGUGGGAAUCUCAGGUGUUAAACGUUAAUCUCAGGUGUUAAACGUUAAUCUCAGGUGUUAAACGUUAAUCUCAGGUGUUAAUCCAGUUAAAAGCCAGAGUUCCCUGGUUUUGUUUAUACAAGGCAGGGGCCAAUGUCUCUGAUUUCCUAGGGAAAAGGAAAAGCUCUGUCAGAGGGAGAGGUCCCUUCCAAUUGUGAUGAUUCUGUGCAUAGCUGCCAUGAAGAGCUCAGCAAGGGCAGGUGCUGCCGUCCUUCGACUCCCUAAGCAGAGGAAAAGAUGAGGACAAAUAGCAGGGCACAGGGCUGCCCAAACACCGAACCGGCCGCCCCUGCCGGGCUCCGGACUUGGCUCCAUGACGGGACUGUGAGCGCGGCUCUUCGCAGCCCCCCGGCUGAGGGGGAGCCGGAGCCGGCCCUCAUCGAAGGAGGAGGAAAGGCUCUCUUUGACGUCAAUGAGAAUUAAAUCGAAUCCCUGGAAAGGAUCCAAGAUGAAAGUGAGUGAAUAAUUCACAACCGAUAAUUUAUGCAGAAAAUGUAGUUUCUUUUCCUACUCGAGGCUUGUCUGUAAAAAAAAUGGAAAAGAUUACUUCAGCUGUGUUUGUUGUUUGAAUGUGUUCAAUUAAGCUGAGUGAGGCUUUGAAUCUCAGGUCUAUUUUAUGGUUUGGUUGUAUAUAGUUUAUACAUCUGAUACUUAAUUUUCAGAUGACCUCGCCUGCUUUGGUCAGGGACGAAUUAGCUGAACUGUGUCGCGAUGCUGGUUUUUGCGCCCUGAUUGAAGGGAAUAAUACUUGCAGGGCUUGACCCAAAUCUCUUUUUCAUCUCUUGCUCUUGGAUUAAGCCCAUGAUCGCGAAGAGGCUUGAAGAAAUACUUGUCGUAGAUGCUUAAGACGUUCAAGAAAAGGAAGAGACAAGAGGAACUGGGAAAUUUUAGUAAACACUGAACAUUUUCGGCACCAUUUCAGAGUCAUUUGGAGCAUCUGAGGUUUCCUGAGGAUGAGCCUUCUGCGACGGGUCCUGCCUUGCUGAAAAAUGAGGCAGUGGGUCUGCCUGGUGAGCGGCGGGGGAGAGGGGCUGCACUCAAACAGCCUUUCCUAGAGGGGAAAAAAACCAACAACAACCACCCCCACACAUUUAAGUCAGCCUUGCACCUGUGCUACGGUCUUAUUAAAUUUGGGUAGGUAAUAAGCAAAGGGUCUAAUUCUGUUGAGGCAGCUCUGUGUCCUCAAACCAGGGCACACGACACCCCAAAGGAACGAUGAGUGAGUUUAAGCAGGCCACCAAUAAUUAGGCCUGUGAGACUUG